UAAGGAAUAUUGGUCAAUGGACGCAAGUCUGAACCAGCCAUGCCGCGUGAAGGAUGAAGGUCCUCUGGAUUGUAAACUUCUUUUAUCUGGGACGUAAACGGGAUUUUUAUCUCAAUUGACGGUACCAGAGGAAUAAGCACCGGCUAACUCCGUGCCAGCAGCCGCGGUAAUACGGAGGGUGCGAGCGUUAUCCGGAUUUACUGGGUUUAAAGGGUGCGUAGGUGGGCUUAUAAGUCAGUGGUGAAAUCUCCGAGCUUAACUUGGAAACUGCCGUUGAUACUAUAGGUCUUGAAUUAUCUGGAGGUAAGCGGAAUAUGUCAUGUAGCGGUGAAAUGCUUAGAUAUGACAUAGAACACCAAUUGCGAAGGCAGCUUACUACAUAUAAAUUGACGCUGAGGCACGAAAGCGUGGGGAUCAAACA
rnacentral:rRNA from 1 species